rnacentral:rRNA from 1 species
UACGAAGGGGGCUAGCGUUGCUCGGAAUCACUGGGCGUAAAGGGUGCGUAGGCGGGGCUUUAAGUCAGGGGGGAAAUCCUGGAGCUCAACUCCAGAACUGCCUUUGAUACUGAGGAUCUUGAGUUCGGGAGAGGUGAGUGGAACUGCGAGUGUAGAGGUGAAAUUCGUAGAUAUUCGCAAGAACACCAGUGGCGAAGGCGGCUCACUGGCCCGAUUCUGACGCUGAGGCACGAAAGCGUGGGGAGCAAACAGG